rnacentral:rRNA from 1 species
GAUGAACGCUGGCGGCGUGCUUAACACAUGCAAGUCGAACGGAAAGGCCCAAGCUUGCUUGGGUACUCGAGUGGCGAACGGGUGAGUAACACGUGGGUGAUCUGCCCUGCACUUCGGGAUAAGCCUGGGAAACUGGGUCUAAUACCGGAUAGGACCACUUCUUUGAUGUUGUGGUGGAAAGUUUUUUCGGUGUGGGAUGAGCUCGCGGCCUAUCAGCUUGUUGGUGGGGUAAUGGCCUACCAAGGCGUCGACGGGUAGCCGGCCUGAGAGGGUGUACGGCCACAUUGGGACUGAGAUACGGCCCAGACGCCUACGGGAGGCAGCAGUGGGGAAUAUUGCACAAUGGGCGCAAGCCUGAUGCAGCGACGCCGCGUGGGGGAUGACGGCCUUCGGGUUGUAAACUCCUUUCGCUAGGGACGAAGCGUUUUGUGACGGUACCUGGAGAAGAAGCACCGGCUAACUACGUG